GGUUUCAUAGUGUAGUGGUUAGCACGUCUGUUUUACACGCAGAAGGUCCUGGGUUUGUGCCCCAGUGGAGCCA
rnacentral:tRNA from 1 species